rnacentral:rRNA from 1 species
GAAUCCCGUCUUUGACAUGGACUGCCAGGGCUCAACAGGUGUGCUCUCGAAGAGUCGAGUUGUUUGGGAAUGCAGCUCAAAAUGGGUGGUAAAUGCCAUCUAAAGCUAAAUAUUGGCGAGAGACCGAUAGCAAACAAGUACCGUGAGGGAAAGAUGAAAAGCACUUUGGAAAGAGAGUGAAACAGUACGUGAAAUUGUUGAAAGGGAAACGCUUGAAGUCAGUCGUGCCCUUUGGGAUUCAGCCUUGCUUCUGCUUGGUUUACUUCUCUUUGGGUGAGUCAACAUCAGUUUGGGUCGGAGGAGAAAGACUUGGGGAAGGUGGCAGCAUUCGUGCUGUGUUAUAGCCCCUUGUUGUAUACUUCGAUUUGGACUGAGGACCGCAGCACGCCUUUGGCCGGGGCUCGCCCACGUACGUGCUUAGGAUGUUGGCAUAAUGGCUUUAAGCGACCCGUCUUGAAACACGGACCAAGGAGUCUAACAUGUGCGCGAGUGUUUGAGUGUUAAACUCAGACGCGAAAUGAAAGUGAAAGGUUGGGAACACUUAUGUGUGCACCGACGCCCGGAGCUGACCUUCUGUGACGCAUCUGCGGUAGAGCGUAUAUGUUGGGACCCGAAAGAUGGUGAACUAUGCCUGAAUAGGGUGAAGCCAGAGGAAACUCUGGUGGAGGCUCGUAGCGAUUCUGACGUGCAAAUCGAUCGUCAAAUUUGGGUAUAGGGGCGAAAGACUAAUCGAACCAUCUAGUAGCUGGUUCCUGCC